AGAACAGCAAGGUCUGACUGCUUCCUUAUGCAACCAGGAAAAAAAAUAUCUCCUUCUGUUGACAGACAGCUCUGUGCUCUGUCACUGCAGUUCAGCUGGAAAAGGCAGAAACAGGGGAUGCUGAAGUGCAGCUUGCUUCUCCUUCCUGCUCCUGGAUGGCUCUGACUGCUGCUACUGCACUUUGUACAGCUGCAUACCAGGGCCCUCUCGCUGGCUCCCUGAUGUGGGUCCUGCCUGUGGGUCUGCAUAGCCAUGGCACAGACUGAAGCCUCCCUCAUGAUGUGCUCUGAAAACCUUCAGGCUGGAAGAGGCUGUACACAAGGAAGAUAACACCUCCCUGCUCCCCCAUGCACACCAGAUUGAAGUGCUAACUCUUCCAUUACACCAGCUUCUUCCACCAGCAUAAGUUUUGAUCUAGGAGGAAAAAGACAAGUCUUCUGGGUAGGAUUAAGGAACAAUGGCUAUGACGUGAACUACGACUAAAAGGAUCCUUGGAUCAUUUUCAUCCUGAACACAAAUAUUGAUCUCACAUACUGAAAAGCUGCUCUUUAGUAUAACUAAAAUAUAUCAUAGAAUCAUAGAAUAGAAUCAUAGAAUAGUUAGGGUUGGAAAGGACCUUAAGAUCAUCUAGUUCCAACCCCCCUGCCAUGGGCAGGGACACCUCAUACUAAACCAUGUCACCCAAGGCUCUGUCCAACCUGGCCUUGAAUACCUCCACUUCCAAGAAAACAAUAUCAGCAUCAUAUUUUGUACAAAACCCAAUACUGCAACGCUAAUUGGCUAUUUUAGAGGAAUUAAAUAUUUUAGUAUUGUUAAAUAUGCUUAAGUAUAGAAUUUGUUACCUUUCUUGUUACUAUACUCUCCUGCUUUUA